rnacentral:ncRNA from 1 species
ACAGAGGUUCUCCUUGUAGGAGAUUAAAACGGGAAUCGUGUGUAAAUCACGAGCUGUCGCGCAACUGUAAGUCCAUAACGGAUCAUGUAUAUCAAAGCCACUGAAGCAAUUUGGGAAGGCGUGCAUGAUGGACAAGCCAGGAGACCUGCCUCUGAUGG